rnacentral:tRNA from 1 species
CGCGGGGUGGAGCAGUCUGGUAGCUCGUUGGGCUCAUAACCCAAAGGUCGGCGGUUCGAAUCCGCCCCCCGCUACCA